AAUCAACCGCCAUCAGCACCACCACCCACACCUGCAGGGAGGCGCUUCCUUCCCCGUCUUUCCAAGGAGCCUGCGCAGAGGCCGAACUACGCCUGGUGGGCACUACAACGAGAUCUAGCCCGGGGUCUGCUCCAAAUGGCAUUCAUCCUUGGGGAGAAAAGUUGAAUAAAUACACCCAAGGAUAUACGUACGAGGAUGUUUGCUGCAGUGAGGUGUCAGAUUAUGAAAACGGGGAAUCAGUCUUACAAGGGAUGCCGCCUGGACACCCUUUAUCAGUGACUAACAGCUCACAACGGCCACCUCUGCAGAGAACUGCCCCGGUCAUUGGUGCUGAGCUUGGCAACCUGGAUUCUAAUCGGUCUCUCUGACUCCCUCGAAAUUUACAGACAUCGGGAAGGACCCCUCAUUUGACAGACAGGGACCCUGUUCCCUCCGUUGCUGAAAGAUCUUGAAGUCUGAGCAGAGUCAUAACCUACCCUCCAGCUGGAAUCCUAGCCACCCCUCCCCGUUUAACUGAGAGAUUGUCCAAGGGCAUCUCUCUCAAGAAGCCUGGACUCUGCUGUGGAUCACCUGAACUCAGCUUCCUGACCCUCAGAGUCCUUUGCUCUGUCUCUGCUAGAAGAAGGAGCUCCUCCUCCUGCCUGAAGCCCGUCGUCAGGAAGCAGCCCUGGAGUGCUGGGCCCUGAUGCAGCCUGGCCCUGACCACUGCAGUGAGUGUCUGGUCAGGGCCCAGGCAAUACCACCUUGAGACAUCCCCUCAACCGACUCAUUCAUUAUACAGAUAGGGAUGCUGGGGCCUGGAGAAGGAGUGGGUUUACCCAGGGUCACCCAGCUAGUAGGUGAUAAGAUGAGAACUUCAACCCAGGGACUUCGUCUGUGGCCCAGAG